AAAUCAGGUAGGACUACCCGCUGAACUUAAGCAUAUCAAUAAGCGGAGGAAAAGAAACUAACAAGGAUUCCCCUAGUAACUGCGAGUGAAGCGGGAAAAGCUCAAAUUUAAAAUCUGGCGGUCUUUGGCCGUCCGAGUUGUAAUCUAGAGAAGUGUUACCCGCGUCGGACCGUGUACAAGUCUCCUGGGAUGGAGCGUCAUAGAGGGUGAGAAUCCCGUCUUUGACACGGACUACCGAGGCUUUGUGGUGCGCUCUCAAAGAGUCGAGUUGUUUGGGAAUGCAGCUCAAAAUGGGUGGUAAAUUCCAUCUAAAGCUAAAUAUUGGCGAGAGACCGAUAGCGAACAAGUACCGUGAGGGAAAGAUGAAAAGAACUUUGGAAAGAGAGUUAAACAGUACGUGAAAUUGCUGAAAGGGAAACGCUUGAAGUCAGUCGCGUUGUCCGGGGAUCAGCCUUCCUUCUGGUUGGUGUACUUCCUGGUCGACGGGCCAGCAUCAGUUUUGACCGGUGGAAAAAGUUCGAGGGAAGGUGGCACCUCCGGGUGUGUUAUAGCCCUCGUUCGCAUGCAUCGGUUGGGACUGAGGAACUCAGCACGCCGCAAGGCCGGGAUUCGUCCACGUUCGUGCUUAGGAUGCUGGCAUAAU
rnacentral:rRNA from 1 species